rnacentral:rRNA from 1 species
GAUCAUGGCUCAGGAUGAACGCUGGCGGCGUGCUUAACACAUGCAAGUCGAACGAAGCCAAAAGGAAGCUUGCUUCUUGAAGCUUAGUGGCGGACGGGUGAGUAACGCGUGAGUAACCUGCCCUUCAGUGGGGAAUAACACAGAGAAAUCUGUGCUAAUACCGCAUAACGUCUUCUUGCCGCAUGACAGGAAGACCAAAGGAUUUAUUCGCUGAAGGAUGGACUCGCGUCCGAUUAGCUAGUUGGUGAGGUAACGGCCCACCAAGGCGACGAUCGGUAGCCGAACUGAGAGGUUGAUCGGCCACAUUGGGACUGAGACACGGCCCAGACUCCUACGGGAGGCAGCAGUGGGGAAUAUUGGGCAAUGGGCGAAAAAGCCUGACCCAGCAACGCCGCGUGAAGGAAGACGGUCUUCGGAUUGUAAACUUCUUUGAUUGGGGAAGAAACAAAUGACCUACCCAAAGAACAAGUCACGGCUAACUACGUGCCAGCCGCCGC